CUAUCGUUCGCGUGCCGCUGCUUACUCAGCGGCCGGGUCUGGAAACCCCGAAAU
rnacentral:ncRNA from 1 species